rnacentral:rRNA from 1 species
UAGGGAAUCUUCGGCAAUGGACGAAUGUCUGACCGAGCAACGCCGCGUGAGUGAAGAAGGUUUUCGGAUCGUAAAACUCUGUUGUUCGAGAAGAACAAGGACGUUAGUAACUGAACGUCCCCUGACGGUAUCUAACCAGAAAGCCACGGCUAACUACGUGCCAGCAGCCGCGGUAAUACGUAGGUGGCAAGCGUUGUCCGGAUUUAUUCGGCGUAAAGCGAGCGCAGGCGGUUUCUUAAGUCUGAUGUGAAAGCCCCCGGCUCAACCGGGGAGGGUCGGUGGAAACUGGGAGACUUGAGUGCAGAACGGGAGAGUGAAAUUCCAUGUGUAGCGGUGAAAUGCGUAGAUAUAUGGAAGAACGCCAGUGGCGAAGGCGGCUAUCAGGACUGAAACAGACGCUGAGGCAAGAAAGCGUGGGGAGCAAACAGG